UGGGCUCGUGGCUUAGCCUGGAUAUAGCGCCGGGCUUCUAACCCGGAUGCCGAGGGUUCGAAUCCCUCCGGGCCCGU
rnacentral:tRNA from 1 species